rnacentral:antisense_RNA from 1 species
UACAAGCUUCACCUAAGUCGCCCUCGAGUGCGGUUUUCACUGUGUUGCAGACGUCCAGUGGU